AUUGAACGCUGGCGGCAGGCCUAACACAUGCAAGUCGAACGGUAACAGGAAGCAGCUUGCUGCUUCGCUGACGAGUGGCGGACGGGUGAGUAAUGUCUGGGAAACUGCCUGAUGGAGGGGGAUAACUACUGGAAACGGUAGCUAAUACCGCAUAACGUCGCAAGACCAAAGAGGGGGACCUUAGGGCCUCUUGCCAUCGGAUGUGCCCAGAUGGGAUUAGCUAGUAGGUGGGGUAACGGCUCACCUAGGCGACGAUCCCUAGCUGGUCUGAGAGGAUGACCAGCCACACUGGAACUGAGACACGGUCCAGACUCCUACGGGAGGCAGCAGUGGGGAAUAUUGCACAAUGGGCGCAAGCCUGAUGCAGCCAUGCCGCGUGUAUGAAGAAGGCCUUCGGGUUGUAAAGUACUUUCAGCGGGGAGGAAGGGAGUAAAGUUAAUACCUUUGCUCAAUGACGUUACCCGCAGAAGAAGCACCGGC
rnacentral:rRNA from 1 species